rnacentral:rRNA from 1 species
GUGGUUUUGGAUGGACUCGCGGCCUAUCAGCUUGUUGGUGAGGUAAUGGCUCACCAAGGCGACGACGGGUAGCCGGCCUGAGAGGGUGACCGGCCACACUGGGACUGAGACACGGCCCAGACUCCUACGGGAGGCAGCAGUGGGGAAUAUUGCACAAUGGGCGCAAGCCUGAUGCAGCGACGCCGCGUGAGGGAUGACGGCCUUCGGGUUGUAAACCUCUUUCAGUAGGGAAAAAGCGAAAGUGACGGUACCCCCAGAAAAUAGCCGGGCACCUACAUGCCAGCAGCCGCGGUAAUACGUAGGGCGCAAAGCGUUAUCCGGAAUUAUUGGGCGUAAAGAGCUCGUAGGCGGUUUGUCCCGUCUGCCGUGAAAGUCCGGGGCUCAACUCCGGAUCUGCGGUGGGUACGGGCAAACUACAGUGAUGUAGGGGAGACCUGAAAUUCCUGGUGCAGCGGUGAAAUGCGCAGAUUAUCAGGAGGAACACCGAUGGCCAAAGGCAGGUCUCUGGGCAUUAACUGACGCUGAGGAGCGAAAGCAUGGGGAGCGAACAGGAUUACAUACCCUGGGUAGUCCAUGCCGUAAACGUUGGGCCCUAGGUGUGGGGGACAUUCCACGUUUUCCGCGCCGUACCUAACGCAUUAAGUGCCCCGCCUGGGGAGCACGGCCGCAAGGCUAAAACUCAAAGGAAUUGACGGGGGCCCGCACAACGCGGCGGAGCAUGCGGAUUAAUUCGAUGCAACGCGAAGAACCUUACCAAGGCUUGACAUGGGCCGGACCGGGCUGGAAACAGUCCUUCCCCUUUGGGGCCGGUUCACAGGUGGUGCAUGGUUGUCGUCAGCUCGUGUCGUGAGAUGUUGGGUUAAGUCCCGCAACGAGCGCAACCCUCGUUCCAUGUUGCCAGCGCGUAAUGGCGGGGACUCAUGGGAGACUGCCGGGGUCAACUCGGAGGAAGGUGGGGACGACGUCAAAUCAUCAUGCCCCUUAUGUCUUGGGCUUCACGCAUGCUACAAUGGCCGGUACAAAGGGUUGCGAUACUGUGAGGUGGAGCUAAUCCCAAAAAGCCGGUCUCAGUUCGGAUUGGGGUCUGCAACUCGACCCCAUGAAGUCGGAGUCGCUAGUAAUCGCAGAUCAGCAACGCUGCGGUGAAUACGUUCCCGGGCCUUGUACACACCCCCCGUCGUAGUCACGAAAGUUGGUAACACC